GUUUGCAUUAUGCAAUUUGCUGCAUGUAUUUUUAUACUCAUAUAAAAUCAUGUAUCAUGAAUGAAAAACUUAAAUAUUUUUGAAGUCAAGCAAUAGUCAUAGGUUGGGAUCAUCAAUAGUUGAAUGGCUUAGUGUUCAACCGAAGGAUGAGCUGCGAUCCAAUCAAGGGCCUUCUGGAUCUCAACUGGGAUUGGGGGUGGAGUGGGCAGCACUUCACCAGAUGGCUGGAAACCAUUCUCAUCAGCCACAUAGGUGAUCUGGACAUGCUCGCCUUCGGGGGA